GAAGAGUUCAAAAUUUUCAGAAUGAAGACUCAUUAAGGCUCGUUAAGAACUAAGGUGGUGGAUAGAAUGACCAGUAGAAGUAUCAAGUGAAGAGAUUCAUAAAUGGAUGCCAAAUUACCAACCAAAAUUAAACCAAUAAUCCUAAGUUUACGACCAAUCCACAAGCAUGGGUAAUUUUUUAUGCAGAACAGAAGCAUUUGUUUGUUAAAGUUGUCAUCUCUCUCUCUCUCUCUCU
rnacentral:misc_RNA from 1 species